GGACACCGUGGAAACUAAACAACUUCUACCAACACCUAGACAAAUGACAGCCCGGGAACUCAGAUGCUCACAGUCCAGCCAAGAUCCCUUCCUCCUAAAGGCCAAACGUUCUGCUCUGCACAAAGCACUUGACUUCCGAUGAAUACAGUGUGUUUUCCUGAGAAGUUGGCAGAUGGCGAUGUAUAGAAAGUGCAGUGUCUGGCACACGCGGAGCUGCUGAUCCGUGCUACCCAUUGGCAUUGGAACAGCUGCAUUUUUGAGCAGAGACAUGAAAAGCAUGGGGGGAGAUCGUCACGCCGCCACCACAGAUGUCCCUGCCUUGGCCGAGGACAGAAGACAGCAGCCAAUAUUCACAGUGGACUGCAGAUGUUUCCCUUCACCACGGAUCAGAGGGGCCAUUAUGGACAGCGUGGGCUCUGCAGGAGUUUUGUGUUCCAGACGGAAUAUUACAGAAUAUGCAUGGCUCCAUCCAACAUUUAUUGAAUACCUACUCUGUGCUGAGCCGCUUUCUAAAUACAAAGAUGAAUAGGUCACAUUCCUUGUCCCCUCAGACACUGAAUUACACACAAGGAGACAACACACAUAAUUAGCCGUAGCGUACUGAGGAGUUCUGUGUGUGGCAGAAACAGUGGUUGAUCUCAGGAGAGAUUUCUGUCAGAGAGCCUUGGAAGAAGAUGAAGACCGUGAGGGACAUCCAGAGUCUUCUCAGGACGGUAAAUAAUGAAAGGACUUAAUGAAAUGAAGAGCAAAGGUCAUUUGAGGUGGUAGAGUGAGGUGCGCAGACCAGCAGGCUUCCGCGCCCCCCAACCCCCACCUCACCCAGUCACUGCCCACCCGUGACACCUUCUUUCAGUAUCUGAGUCAUACC